rnacentral:rRNA from 1 species
ACUCAAAUGAAUUGACGGGGACCCGCACAAGCGGUGGAGCGUGUGGUUUAAUUCGAUACUAAGCGAAGAACCUUACCAAGAUUUGACAUCCCAGGAAAGCUCUGGAAACAGAGCCGUGCCGCAAGGAACCUGGUGACAGAUGCUGCACGGUUGUCGUCAGCUCGUGCUGUGAAGUGUCCCGUUCAGUCGGUCAACGAGCGCAACCCUCAUCCUGUGUUAAAUUUCUCACAGGAAACUGCUUCAGUUAAUGGAGAGGAAGGUGAGGAUGACGUCAAAUCAGCGUGGCUCUUACAUCUUGGGCGACACACGCGCUACAAUGGGUGGUAACAAUGGGUUGCUAAGCCGCGAGGCGGAGCUAAUCCCACCAAACCCACUCUCAGUUCGGAUUGGAGGCUGCAACUCGCCUCCAUGAAGUCGGAAUCGCUAGUAACGGCCGGUCAGCCAUACGGCCGUGAAUACGUUCUCGGGUCUUGCACACACCGCCCGU